AUAGCUCAAGGUGUAGAGAGCAUGCUUAGCAUGCAUGAGGUCCUGGGUUCAAUCCCCAGU
rnacentral:tRNA from 1 species